GGUGAAGAGUUAUUAAGGGUAUAUGGUGGAUGCCUUGACAUUAAAAGACGAUGAAGGACGUAGCAGCCUGCGAUAAGCCUCGGGGAGGUGGCAAGCAACCUUUGAGCCGGGGAUUUCCGAAUGGGGGAACCUAUCCCGAUGAAGUCGGGAUGUCCUUAACUUGAAUUCAUAGAGUUAAGAGACGAGUACCCGGGGAACUGAAACAUCUUAGUACCCGGAGGAAAAGAGAAAAAAAUCCUUCACUAAAGUUACGCGUGACUGUCCCUGCCUACCGGCAGGCAGGCGCCUAGCUUUAGCGAAGGCAGAUUCCGUUAGUAGUGGCGAGCGAAAACGGAGCAGCCAAAAUUUUAUCGACCGAACCUUUUGUCCCGAGCAAUCGGGAUAAAUGGGAAAGGAUCCAGGUCCAAAUGUCGGUAGAAUGUUGCAAGAAGUUUGCGUUUGCCCCCUGGAAAGGGCAAGGUAGAGAGACCAAACGUAGCUUCCCUAGCAGAGCGGUCUGGAAAGACCGGCCAAAGACGGUGAUAGCCCGGUACGCGAAAGGGGUUAUGACUCUACGGCAAUCUUUCUUAAGUAAGGCGGGACUCGUGAAAUCCCGUUUGAAUCCGGAGCGACUAUGCUCCAAGGCUAAAUACUUUUAAUGAUCAAUAGUGAACAAGUACCGUGAGGGAAAGGUGAAAAGCAUCCCGGAGAGGGAGGUGAAAUAGUACCUGAAACCAUAUACUUACAAGGAAUCGGAGUCCCGCCCUUUCUGCGCAUCUUUAAGUUUUUUAUAUCAUCGGCUAGAGACGAAGUCGCUUCGCUUAGCAAAGAUGAUGUAAAAACGAAAGGUGAAUGGAAAGGGCGGGAUGACGGUGUGCCUAUUGAAGAAUGAGCCAACGAGUUUGUUCUAUGCGGCUAACAUAAGCUCCAUUCGGAGCAGAUGUGUAGUGAAAGCGAGGGUUAAUAGCCCGUAUCUUACUUAUAAGGAAGGAGACCCUUUAGUCUCCUGCCUUAUUUGUAAGAAUGUCGCAUGGACAAGACCCGAAGCCGGGUGAUCUAGCCAUGGCCAGGUUGAAUGUCGUCGAAAGACGGCAGGAGGACCGAACCCACUAGCCGUGCAACACUAGGGGAUGAGCUGUGGUUAGCGGAGAAAUUCCAAUCGAACUCGGCGAUAGCUGGUUCUCCUCGAAAUAGCUUUUGGGCUAGCCUCGGAUGCUAACUAUAGGGGGUAGAGCACUGAUUAAGGGCGGGAUCGUUAAGAUAACCGUCUUUAGACAAACUCCGAAUCCCUAUAGGCGUAAUCCGGGAGUCAGACUGUGGGGGCUAAGCUUCACUAGUCAAAAGGGAAACAGCCCAUGAUCACCAACUAAGGUCCCUAAAUCUAUGCUAAGUGUAAAAGGUGGUGUCGCGACUGCGACAACUAGGAGGUUGGCUUAGAAGCAGCCAUCCUUUAAAGAAAGCGUAACAGCUCACUAGUCAAGUUGCCGCGCGCCGAAAAUUUAUCGGGGCUAAGCAUAGUACCGAAGUUGUGGAUGUGCCGAUGCGAAAGCAUCGGGACAUGGUAGAGGAGCAUUUGCUGGGCAUUGAAGCUCUGUCGCGAGGCAGGGUGGAGCGCAGCGAAGCGAGACUGUUGGCAUAAGUAGCAAAAAGGCAGGUAAAAACCCUGCCCACCGUAAGCCUAAGGGUUCCUGGGCAACGCAAAUCGGCCCAGGGUUAGUCGGUCCUAAGGUGAGUCCCGUGUAGUGCGGGGGUAGCCGAUGGAAGAUGCCGUCAAUAUUCGGCAACUACUGUUUUAUUUCAAAGGAGUGACGCAUUAGUUAAGUUUGAGCGUCCUAUGGUAUGGGCGUUACUGCCAGCAUUGAGCCGUCCUUGGCAAAUCCGGGACAAUUUCGCUCAAAGCUGGCGGUAGAAGUCAAAGGCAAUGCCUGAGACAAUUUGAGUGGAGCUGAUGCCCAGAAAAACUUCUAGAGUUUUCCGUCGUUAGACGGGAUAAAAAUAAAACAGCAACCGUACCGUAAACCGACACAGGUAGGCGAGGCGAGUAGCCUCAGGUGCACGAGAGAACCUUCGUUUAGGAACUCGGCAAAAAAGCGGUCGUAAGUUCGCAAUAAGGCCUGCCUCGAUUUAUCGGGGCCGCAGCGACCGAUCUCAAGUGACUGUUUACCAAAAACACAGCUCCCUGCUAACUCGUAAGAGGAUGUAUAGGGGGUGAUGCCUGGCCAGUGUCAGAACGUUAAGGGGAGAGGUUAAUCCCGAGCAAUCGGGGCGAAGCUUUGAUCCGAAGCGCUGAUGAACGCCGGCGAUAACUAUAAUCGUCCUAAGGUAGCGAAAUUCCUUGUCGGGUAAGUUCCGACCUGCACGAAUGGCAUAACAACUUGAGAACUGUCUCAACGAGGGACUCGGCGAAAUUGCAAGAUGAGUGAAGAUGCUCAUUACCCACAGUAGGGCGAAAAGACCCCGUGAAGCUUUACUACAACUUGAUAUUGUGUUUCGGUUUGCUCUGUUCAGUAUAGGUGGGAGUCCCGCAGCAAUGCGGGACGCCAGUGAGAUACCACCCUUAGCAUGCUGAAACACUAACCUUUUCCCGUUAUCCGGGAAGGGAACAGUAUCUGGCGGGUAGUUUGUCUGGGGCGGAUGCCUCCCAAAAAGUAACGGAGGCGUUUACAAAGGUUGGCUAUCUCGGAAUUGAAACCCGAGAGAUAGUGUAAAGGCAUAAGCCAGCUUUACUGCGAGACUUGCCAGUCAAGCAGUCGCGAAAGCGGAACUUAGUGAUCCGACCGUUCGAAAUAGGACGGCGGAAGCUCAUCGGAUAAAAGUUACUCCGGGGAUAACAGGCUAGUCUGGUCCAAGAGUCCAUAUCGACGACCAGGUUCGGCACCUCGAUGUCGGCUCGUCGCAUCCUGGGGGUGGAGAAGCUCCCAAGGGUUUGGCUGUUCGCCAAUUAAAGCGGCACGCGAGCUGGGUUCAAACCGUCAAGACGGCGGCUUUCCUGAGAAAUCGGGAUUGAAAAAGUCAACUCAUAUCGGUGAAACCCUAACGAAUUGCAUUUUAACCUGUCGCAUGUUAGGAUAAUACCGAGGGAAGUUUAUUAUGUCUACAAAAAUUUUCGCCACAACCAAAUCUUAUUUAGCUGGUUUUUUAGAUGGAGACGGCAGUAUUUAUGUGCGGCUCAAACCAAAUCCAACCUAUCGGUUUGGAUUUCAGGUUUCUCCGUGCGUUGCCUUGUUCCAAUCUAAAAAAGAAGCUGAAAAUUUUCAGAGAGUUUGUGCUCUGAUAGGUUGUGGUUAUAUGCGUGAAAGAAAAGAUGGCAUAUUAGAAUAUGUUAUAAAUAAACAAGAUGAAAUUAUUAAUUUUCUUUCCAUCAUCAAGCCUUAUUUGAUCUUAAAAAGAAAACAAGCGGAUUUAAUGAUUGCAAUAUUAAAGUUAAAAACAGAGGUUAAGAAUCAAAAAAGCUUUAGUGAAUUAGCGCAGUUAAUUGAUAAAUUUAGAGAACUCAAUUAUUCAAAGAAAAGAAAAAGGCAUAAUCUAACCCCGUAGAGACUGAUCCUUAAAUGGAGAGAGUCCCGCAUUUUGCGGGGCUAACACGUUGACCUCCCAAGUAGCAUUGGGAUGAUGGUAUAGUCCACGCACUUGGCAACAAGUGAAUUAAAUAUAGCGUAAGACAGGUUGGUCUCCUACCCACUGUGGGCGCAGAAACUUGCGCAGGCGCUUCCUUAGUACGAGAGGACCGGGAAGCACGAACCUCUGGUGUACCAGUUGUCCUACCAAGGGCACCGCUGGGUAGCCACGUUCGGUUUAGAUAAGCGCUGAAAGCAUAUAAGCGCGAAGCUGUCUGCAAGAUUAGGUUUCAUAGGUUUCCCGUAGACGACGGGAUUGAUAGGCCCUAGGUGUAAGCGCGGUAACGCGUUCAGCCGAGGGGUACUAAUAAACCAUUACUCUUCACCUU
rfam:Candidatus Falkowbacteria bacterium RIFCSPLOWO2_02_FTLL_45_15 rifcsplowo2_02_scaffold_20145, whole genome shotgun sequence.